UUUUAUGUUUUUGUUUUAACCCAAACGCAGGGUUCGGGACCACCAAACAGUUCCGCGUGACCUCUGUCUCCCUUUCUCUAUCACUCUCUCUCUGUCCAACAAAUUGCUUCAGCCGCCGGCACCUCUUCCUUCCUUCCUUCUCUGUUCACCACGCAUCUUCAUUCACUGUGCUCAUCUGCACUCUUCUCUGUUUUCUGUUCUGUGCUUUGUUC
rnacentral:lncRNA from 1 species